UACAGAGGGGGCGAGCGUUGUUCGGAAUUACUGAGCGUAAAGGGCGCGUAGGCGGCCUCUUAAGUCGAACGUGAAAUCCCCGGGCUCAACCCGGGAACUGCGUCCGAUACUGGGAGGCUUGAAUCCGGGAGAGGGAUGUGGAAUUCCAGGUGUAGCGGUGAAAUGCGUAGAUAUCUGGAGGAACACCGGUGGCGAAGGCGGCAUCCUGGACCGGUAUUGACGCUGAGGCGCGAAAGCCAGGGGAGCAAACGGG
rnacentral:rRNA from 1 species